UCCGGUUUGUCACCGGCAGUCUCAUUAGAGUGCCCAACUAAAUGUAGCAACUAAUGACAAGGGUUGCGCUCGUUGCGGGACUUAACCCAACAUCUCACGACACGAGCUGACGACAGCCAUGCAGCACCUGUGUUACGGUUCUCUUUCGAGCACUAAGCCAUCUCUGGCGAAUUCCGUACAUGUCAAAGGUGGGGAUGACGUGUAACCGAAUCU
rnacentral:misc_RNA from 1 species